GCUCUCCUCUCCUGCUAAGUUUGGUCUUCUGGCAGUAAUUAAAACCUUCUGCCACCACCAUUGCUACCACUGCUGCUGGAACCACCAUACCAACCUUAGUUUCAUGGUUUGGCAAAGUUUUGGGCUCCACCACCUUAGGGGCCAGAGCUUUCAAAAAUUUCCUCCUUUCAUGGAUCCACAAUCUGAAGUGUGAUUGUUGUAAUUGCCAAAAUUAUUAUAGGUUCCGCCAUUUCCAAGUUGCUGCCAUUGUCACCAAAUCCAUUAUAGCCAUCCCUACUUCCACCACAUCCACCACCACCUUGACUGCCACAAAAGCUACCUCACCCACUGAAGUUUCUUCCAUAACCAGAGUUGUCAUUCCCACCAAGACCACCUCCAUGACCGCCAACAAAGUUUCCAGAACCACUUCGACCUUUGGGCUGGAUGAAGCACCAGCCGUCUCUUGCUCAGAGAUUUCCUUACUUCACAGCUCUGGCCAUUCACAGAAUGGCUUUUUGAAUAAUAAUCUUGUCUACAGAGUCAUGGUCAUCAAACGUUACAAAAGCAAAGCCUCUCUUUUGCCACUGCCUCAGUCAGUUAUGAUUUCAAUCACUUCAAUUUUCCCAUACCGUUCAAAAUAAUCUCUUAGAUGAUGUUCUAAUGCCACCAACAAAAAUCUUUGUCACAGUUAAGUGGGCACCAGGUCUUCGAGAAUCCUCUCUUGAGACCGCCCUCUUUGGUUCCACAACUCUUCCAUCCACCUCCUCCAUAGUGGCAUAUGUGACAAACCUAAGCCUCUGGAGUGUGAGGUGUUUGGAUCUGUCAUUACCACACAGUCUGUAAGCAUUCUCCGUUGCUCAAAAUGCUCAUUAGAUGUUUCAAAACUCAAACCUCCAAAGAAGAGCUCCCACAGCUCUUCAAGCUCUUCAAGGCGCAGCUGUUCACAAUGGCAGUGGGAGGGGAGACUUU
rnacentral:lncRNA from 1 species